rnacentral:rRNA from 1 species
UACGUAGGGUGCGAGCGUUGUCCGGAAUUACUGGGCGUAAAGAGCUCGUAGGUGGUUUGUCGCGUUGUUCGUGAAAACUCACAGCUCAACUGUGGGCGUGCGGGCGAUACGGGGCAGACUAGAGUACUGCAGGGGAGACUGGAAUUCCUGGUGUAGCGGUGGAAUGCGCAGAUAUCAGGAGGAACACCGGUGGCGAAGGCGGGUCUCUGGGCAGUAACUGACGCUGGAGGAGCGAAAGCGUGGGGAGCGAACAGG